UUAAAAUUAAAUUUGAUAAGUUUACCGUGAUAACACUAAAAUAAUAAAAUAACUUUUUCGCUAACUGUUUUUUUAUUUUUUUUGACAACAUCUAAAAUGUUGUUUUCACUCGUAAAGGUAGUUUUGGCCUAGUGGGUUCCAUAACUGAUUGGUCAGAAAUUUAAAGUUCUCCUUUUCUUUUUCACAAUCAAACGCUAAACUCUAGAACGUCUCAUCCAAAAUUCCAAAUGUCGUUUUAGUGACCAAUUACACAACUAAAAUUCCUUAAAUGGGAAAUCUUUUAAUUACUUACUAAACUAGCAAUUCUUCUGGUUUCCCGCGCUAAGCAUACAACACCUUUGUGGAUUCAAUCGUAAAUCUAACCGUCUCAACUAGCGUUCAACAAUCAUUAGCAAUGACGGAAACCCCAAAAAAAGUAUAUUCAUUCAAUAGGAAAUCAUUGUUACAAGUCCAUUUUAACUCGUUAUAAUUCCAUAAAUAUCCAAAAAUAAUACAGCGAAAACCUGAUCGGAGGAUUCAUUAUGAGGGACGGCGUAUGAAUUUCGAAUGUCGACGGUACCAUCGGGUAGGACGGAUCCGAGAAGCGUGCCAAUGACACGUUCGGCUUGGUCAGGCCGCCUCACGUAGCAAUCGCAGAUGUUGAAGAUCACCAAAGGGUGCACUUUCGCCGAAAGGCUCGUCGACGAUGGCGUUGGCGUGAAUUGAAGGA
rnacentral:misc_RNA from 1 species